ensembl:lncRNA
UGUCAGUGUUAAAAGAUGCACUCAUCCCCAACUUUUGUGCACCAUAAAAAAAACGCUAUUGUAAGUAAAACAUGACUAUCAUAUUCAGUCAUUUAAAUGACAUGGAAUGGGUUUGUAAAUGCUUAUAAUAAUAUUUUCCUCCCAAUAGGCUCAUAUGCAAAUCUAAAACAUUACAGGCUAAUGAUGUAUAAGACACAUGCUUCACUUCAGUUGAUUGACAGUUGACUAUGUGGCAGUGGACAGGUUACAUCUUGUUUCCACUACUUGUCAAUGCAUAAACCUGGGAACACCUGGGAACUUCCAUCCUGAAGGGCUGAAAGACAUAUCUUCUACCUGGUAGGUAUUCAUCCUCACCAGGUGUCUCAGGUCUGAAUUAGAAGGACAGGGUGAAGACCAGAAGGGUUUGUCCCUCCAGGUUGGGACAUCCCAACUAUCGGCCAAUGCUGACAAAGCCUUUUAUGAUUCCACUCACUGAGUGGAUAACAGGGGCUCCCCCUUAAAACUUUCAAUGCCUAUUAGUUUGAUAGUCUGUAAUUUUUCAGCAUUGUCCAAUGGCCCUAGGUUUUUACCAGCUCUUGUGUGUGUUUUCCUGGUGUCUUUGAUUAAUGGGUCAUUUAAUGGGUCAUUUGACGGCUUGUCAUUUGACGGCGUGUGUGAGUUUGUUAAUCAUAUCCACAGGCUAAACAUUAUUCUGUCAUACAUCUGGAUUUCUCCAUUAUUGUAGAAAUAUGGCGUGAACCUAUCAUAUGUGUGUACUGCAAACACUAUUCAAUUGUAAGCUGACGUGUGUAGACAAAAUCAGGCCAGCCCUGAUGAUUAUUGUUUCUUGCCAGCUUUGCUGUUCUAAGAAGAUGAGAGAAAUUAGUCUUUUAAGAACCAAUGGUUUUGCGAAGCAUGUCGAUCUGGUUGGUGCACAUUCGGUAAGGGGUUAUGGUAAGGGUUAUGGUAAGGGUUAUGGUAAGGGGUUAUGGUAAGGGGGUUAUGGUAAGGGUUAUGGUAAGGGUUAUGGUAAGGGGUUAUGGUAAGGGGUUAUGGUAAGGGUUAUGGUAAGGGGUUAUGGUAAGGGGUUAUGGUUAGCCUAAGUUAACUAAUGUUAUUAUCUAAUGUUAUUAUUAUAUCAGUGUUCAGUCAGACUACCUUUUAAAGGUAACGCAUAACGUAACGCGUUAGUUUUAAAUAAUCCCUUACUAGUUACUUUUUAAAUAAAGUUACUUAAUUAACCGCAGUGCAACCAACUUAGCUUCAUGUACAGUAGUGUUAUUAUCUCCAGUAGCAAGUGGCAACAAAGGACACAAAUAUAGCAGCAGGAGUUCUCCCAGAUGAAGGGCAUGAUAGACCAAACCACCGCCCAGCUCCCGUUCAUUUCAAAUCAAUACGUAGUGUCCACAAGCGACUUCUGCAGUGAAAGGCUUGGCUGCACAAUUCAAGGUUGGGAAGCACUUUAUUAUUUUGACUACGUCAUUAUAACCCUCAUCUAUAACAAAUCAGUGCGGUUAUUGUGUUUUGCUGCAAUCUCUUGCCUGUCGGACAACCAAAGUUAGAUCCCAAAUCAUCCUCUGUCGGACAACCAAAGUUCGAUCCCAAAUCAUCCUCUGUUGGACAACCAAAGUUCGAUCCCAAAUCAUCCUCGGUCAGACAACCAAAGUUCGAUCCCAAAUCAUCCUCUGUCGGACAACCAAAGUUCGAUCCCAAAUCAUCCUGUCGGACAACCAAAGUUCGAUCCCAAAUUAUCCUCAGUCAGACAACCAAAGUUCGAUCCCAAAUCAUCCUCUGUCGGACAACCGAAGUUCGAU